CAGGCCUAACACAUGCAAGUCGAGCGGUAGCACAGAGAGCUUGCUCUCGGGUGACGAGCGGCGGACGGGUGAGUAAUGUCUGGGAAACUGCCUGAUGGAGGGGGAUAACUACUGGAAACGGUAGCUAAUACCGCAUAACGUCGCAAGACCAAAGAGGGGGACCUUCGGGCCUCUUGCCAUCAGAUGUGCCCAGAUGGGAUUAGCUAGUAGGUGGGGUAAUGGCUCACCUAGGCGACGAUCCCUAGCUGGUCUGAGAGGAUGACCAGCCACACUGGAACUGAGACACGGUCCAGACUCCUACGGGAGGCAGCAGUGGGGAAUAUUGCACAAUGGGCGCAAGCCUGAUGCAGCCAUGCCGCGUGUAUGAAGAAGGCCUUCGGGUUGUAAAGUACUUUCAGCGAGGAGGAAGG
rnacentral:rRNA from 2 species